GCUGCAUGCAUGGGUGACUGAUUGAAUGCAUGGGUGACUGAUUGAAUGCAUGGGUGAAGGUCUGAUGGUGAUGCCAUCGCAGACCUGGAACUCUGGUGACUAAGGUUUUGUAAAACACAUAUAGAACUGAUUUUUCUGGAAAUGUUCAGAGACUAUAUUAUUAUGUAGUUUCAUUUCUUUCCUUCUUCACAAUUCAUACAUAUCACAUGAAGUAAAACACAUUACCUCAGUCUCUCUGUACUCCGAACCCCAUGCCUAAAAUGCAGACAUUGCACAAACGCCACUUUAUUUUUAGGCCUUUCAGUGAUAUUCUGACAAGUGCAGUACAGGCUUUCUGGGAGUUUGUUUGCACACGAUGGUAGAUCCCUUUAGACCGUCGACUCUGCUUAGGGUGGUUGAGGCAGGCUGCCUCUAAGCAGUAUGAUACAGUAGCUUGGAGCACUUGGUUAAAUCAUCAUUUGGGGUCAUGUGCUUCUUCCAUUCCCAGUAUCUAUUAAUGGAGUAACUGGAAAGCAGCAGAGCCACGCAGUGUGCUCUGACCUGGAAUGACAUUCACAGCUACAUCUCUGCGAUUUGAGUUGAACCUUUGCUCUCGUGUGCCUGAGGUUAGGCACUAGGACAUGGUUUUCAUGAUCCUCCUUCCUACCCAGUGUCAUUCACACCUCCAUCCCGACAGACGGAGACAUAAAAAGGACAAGCUAGAAGUAUGUGCCUUUUUCUGGACAAGACAGAAAAAUAUGCCUACAUUGAGUGCUGUGUCUAUGUCAUAGAUUAAAGAUGUAAAAAUGUUUUAAAGACUAUUAGAAAGAAAAAAGUAAAUAUAAACAUUUACUUAACUAAGUUGGCCUUUAAGAGCUCAACAUAUUCCAUAAAGCACUUUCAGAAAGGCAUAAAGACAUGGACUUCAAAGGGAUGUUGGAGGUAUGUCCUGUUUGGAGUAGAUGUGUCUUAUCGGAGAAUGUGUGUCACGGAGGCUUUGAGGUUACAGAAGCACAGAAGCUCAAGCCAGGCUCAGUGUGUCAGUCUGUCUUC
rnacentral:lncRNA from 1 species